GCUGAAACUCGUUUUUUUGUUAGUGGGGUCAACAGUACUAAUUUCUUCAAAAUUUCAGUGAAAAGUGUUGAGCCAUAGACAGCCGUUCUUCUAUGAUUCUAUCUGAAGGAACCGGAGCAGCCGCAGCCCGCAGGCAAAGGCGAGUGACGGGGACGGCCGGCCGGCCUAUUGGCACAGGCCUCAGGCUGCUCGGCGUUGUGGGGGGCCAGGUCGGUGGAGGCGGCACCACCCACGCGGCGAGAGCUCAACUGUGGCCGGCAGUCGUCCACGGGCGCGGCGCGAAGGUGGAGUUAACCGCGCGUUCCAGCAUAGUCAAUCACUGGAUGACUGGAUCGACACAGGAGGAGCUCGUGAGAUUCCUCUCUGCACACUAGUUUCCAGGUUUGCUUUUGCUGCAAUAGGAUGAAACUGCUAUUUUCAUUCUGUCCUGGGUCUAAUUGCUGUCUGCUUUGCAAAGUACCUCUUCAAAUUGUAGCAUAUAUGCAAUAGCUGUUCAUACAAUUGAGGACAGAGGGGUAAAAAUAAGAUUUUCACCCCUCGCUUAAUCUCAAGAAAGGUACAGUGUAACGCUAGUCAGAGGUUGUCAA